ACCUUUUGCCCAAGCCAGCUGCAUCCCCGGGCUGCUCACCGUCUCCCUCGAGGCGCCGGAGCAGGGGGCAGCGCGCCGGGACGAGCCCCGAGCGCCCAGCGUGUCCCCGCAGCCUCUGAUCGCCUGCACCCCGCGAGGCUGCGACUGCCUCGACCCUGCUGCCCCUCGCUGGCYGCGUGCCGCGGGAUUAGAGCGGUGCCGUGGCGGCGGCAGCAGCGGAGCGGCGGCUUGGGUUUCACUUGCCGGCCUCUAUUUUCAGGGCCGCAAAUCCAGCGGGUGACAACGUUUUGCGGCUGGGUUUGCAGGAAACCUCGUGCUAGGAGCAACGCGUCCUUCCUCAGCCCCUCUUUUGGGGGGGGGGGGUCGCUUGCUAGGAUCAAACGAAAACACCCACAUUUUUGGCUGCUUCCCCCCACCCCGUCACCCGCUUUUGGCAUCGUGGAGGGGAGAUGGCUGCAUUAUGCAGCGAAUAAAGCGCUGUGCUGCCAGGUGGCCUUGGCUUUGCAUCAGGUUUGCAACCUCCCAUCGAGGCAGACGGGUUCCCACGCGCCCCCGAAGCUCUCGCGAGGCAGCGGGGCUGCUCUGGGCGUUUGCUCAGCCCGGAGCAAACCUGCCUCCGGGGCUUGGAGGAAAAUGGAUUGCCCCAUUAUCAGCGCUUUCUCCCACAGCUUAAAUACAAUAAAGCUGGCAAGCGCCGAGCGCCGGGGCGCUGCUCRCCCGCACCUGGUGGGUGCAGCUGAGCGGCUCCGCGGGGCCUCCYGGGGAGUAGGCAGAGUGCGGGCUGCACCCGCCGGCCGCCUUCCUCCGGAGCCGUGCCACCGGCGCCCGCGGGACGUCGGCCMUCCCCGGCCCGGUGAGCAAGACCGGGGCUCAGCUGCGGUGCCGGAGCCGGUUUGGGGGGGGCUUUGGGGUGCUGCUGGCUCGGGAGGAGGAGGAGGAGGAAGGGAGGCGGGUGAAAGGCUUUGCGUGGGGACCUGGGGCUGCACCGUCUCGCCGGAGCUCUGCUCCGCAGUUGAGGAACCCGAGCAAGAAAUGGUGCAACGAGCCGACGGGGCAGAUGUGGGGGAACGGCACUAA
rnacentral:lncRNA from 1 species